rnacentral:rRNA from 1 species
UACGUAGGGUGCGAGCGUUGUCCGGAAUUAUUGGGCGUUAAGGGCUCGUAGGCGGUCUGUCGCGUCGGGAGUGAAAACUCAGGGCUUAACCCUGAGCCUGCUUCCGAUACGGGCAGACUAGAGGUAUGCAGGGGAGAACGGAAUUCCUGGUGUAGCGGUGGAAUGCGCAGAUAUCAGGAAGAACACCUAUGGCGAAGGCAGCUCUCUGGGACGGUACUGACGCUGAGACGCGAAAGCGUGGGGAGCGAACAGG